AAAUGGCUCCUUGAUCUAUGGUGCUGCUAGUUUUUCCACAGUAAGGAGACGCAAGGCCAACAAUGAGAUAAGAAUGCAACACGGAAUAUCAGUGCACUGUAACUAAAGACUCUGGACCUUAACUUCUAUGAAGAAUAUUCUAUUUUUACCCUAAAGUAAUAGAUCAAAAUACAGAGGCUCUGUGCUCGCAAACUGGGAGGGGGGGCGGGGUUGAGUGAUUUUAAAUCUCUUUUUAAAAAUCUUUUGUUAAAUCUGCAUUGAAAUCUCUGGGAAGCUUUCCUCUCUAGGUUUCAUGUUCUGAAAAUGACUGGAAACCCUACCAGCCAUUUCAAACGUGUCCACAGUAGUUUUAUUUAAAACAACGUGAAUAAGUGGAACAAAGCCUAACACUCCAUAUAUACAAAUCAGACUUCAGUUUUGCGAGGAGAAUAAUGCUGAAACCUCAAAUUUAGCUGCCACCUCAGAGACUGGCACACAAAUGGACUGCUUAAGGGAGUACACAAGUACUAGUUCUAUAUAUCCACACCCAGGACUAGGAUGGGACUUUUUGUCAUACAAGUUUUUUUCCUGAUCCAAAAAAAUGAAUAGAUUUUAAGGCCAGAAGGGACAAUGAUGAUUAUCCAAUUUGACCAAGUGAUGACAAAUUCACCAUGUCCCCAGCCCAAGCCUCAUUGCUACUGUAAAUUAUUAAAAGUCUGAAGUGAAUGAUGCUCAGGAGUCAGUCGCCAAUGAACAGAAGCACGUCAAUAAUUUUUCAGUGUCCCAGCAAACAAAAACACAAAGUGAACCUCAGUCAAAAGCACGGAGAUUCACCUGGUUUCAUAUUGAAAUGGGAAGCUUAAAGCCAUAAACCCAAAACUGAUUUGACUAUGAUCAGGUUUGUGAACUUUACCUGAACAUGGCAGUGUUUCUAUUAAGACAGGAAAGCAGGUGCUGACAGAACUCUGAGGAGACUGAGGCAAGGAACAUCAAUAGCUGUGUUUAUUAUUUUAUCUAGAUCUGCAUGUCUCAUAUGCUAUGGUCUGCAGUUCAUGCUCUAAGAGUUUAUUGCUCUGAAAUCUCUGUCAGUCUGCUACUGGGAAUAUUAGCUUCUGGAUGGGAACAGAGCAGCAAACCACUGGGAGAAUGACAGAGUGCUCAACCGAUUAGUGCUGGGGCGGAAACAGCAGCAGGAAGCCAGCCAAUCAUUUGAAGAGGAAAUGGGCAUCAAGGAGAAAGUACAUGUAGGAUAGCUUUUUCAAAAAAGAAAA